rnacentral:lncRNA from 1 species
UCUCCACCUCCCUUUUGGGGCACUAUUAGAGAACUCAUUUAGUGUGUCAACUAAAGGUUCCAUCUAUUACUUGUAUUAUUUUCUCAAGGUCUUAAUUUAGAACUUUUGAAGCUAUGUCGUUGCCUGUCAUCCAACGUGUUUCUGUUAAAUCACUUAUGUUAACUCCUCCUUGGUGGUGCUAUCUCAGACUAGUUCAGAAGCCUGGAAACUGAAGUCCCGUUGUUACCAUGACAAGUUGGAUCCAACUAGGAGGUUAUCCAACUGAAUUCUAUCAAAAAUGAAAGGUAUAGAUUCUUCGUGUGAAAAAAUAAGAGUUGACAGGUUAAGUCAACAGUAUGAAUAGCAUUCAUAAGGACAGGAUAAGUAAAGGCAUAUGCUCAAUGGAGUGCUCAACAGAAGGGUGCAUGUUGAACAGCAACAGUGACCCAAACAAAACUUUGGUCCAGGUUUCUAGCCUUUGAAAUGAGUCUUUAAAACUAACAUAUCCCAUUAGCACUUCUCUUAUCCUCACAAGUGAAACAACUCCAGGUAAAGUGAAUUAUGGAAUAUGGAGCAAGUACUGUCACCGGGCAUUUGGCAUCAAAAAGAGCAAAUUUCUGAGACAAGAAGUCUUGUAGCAGCCUCUUGAGUUAGAAGAGCUAGUUUCUCUUUUCCAUGUGGUAGGAGGUUCCACCAAGGUUCAGGUAUAUGUCAUCUUUUUCCCUUGCAAAGACACUUAUUGAAUCUUCUUUGCUGAUGUUUUACUAGUGUGGCUUAAUGAUUUUUGAGGCUAUGGACCAUUGAACCAAAUCCGUUGGAGCUUUCUCCACACACAUCUAAUAUUGCCAGUUGGUUUUCAUGAAGUGAAAAGGCAUUUGCAAAUGAGAUAUUUGGUCAAGUACUUCGAGAGUAGUAAA